rnacentral:rRNA from 1 species
AGGCUGGCGGAGCUACACAUGCAGUCGAGCGGGGAAGGGUAGCUUGCUACCUGACCUAGCGGCGGACGGGUGAGUAAUGCUUAGGAAUCUGCCUAUUAGUGGGGGACAACAUUCCGAAAGGAAUGCUAAUACCGCAUACGCCCUACGGGGGAAAGCAGGGGAUCUUCGGACCUUGCGCUAAUAGAUGAGCCUAAGUCAGAUUAGCUAGUUGGUGGGGUAAAGGCCUACCAAGGCGACGAUCUGUAGCGGGUCUGAGAGGAUGAUCCGCCACACUGGGACUGAGACACGGCCCAGACUCCUACGGGAGGCAGCAGUGGGGAAUAUUGGACAAUGGGCGAAAGCCUGAUCCAGCCAUGCCGCGUGUGUGAAGAAGGCCUUUUGGUUGUAAAGCACUUUAAGCGAGGAGGAGGCUACCGAGAUUAAUACUCUUGGAUAGUGGACGUUACUCGCAGAAUAAGCACCGGCUAACUCUGUGCCAGCAGCCGCGGUAAUACAGAGGGUGCGAGCGUUAAUCGGAUUUACUGGGCGUAAAGCGUGCGUAGGCGGCUUUUUAAGUCGGAUGUGAAAUCCCUGAGCUUAACUUAGGAAUUGCAUUCGAUACUGGGAAGCUAGAGUAUGGGAGAGGAUGGUAGAAUUCCAGGUGUAGCGGUGAAAUGCGUAGAGAUCUGGAGGAAUACCGAUGGCGAAGGCAGCCAUCUGGCCUAAUACUGACGCUGAGGUACGAAAGCAUGGGGAGCAAACAGGAUUAGAUACCCUGGUAGUCCAUGCCGUAAACGAUGUCUACUAGCCGUUGGGGCCUUUGAGGCUUUAGUGGCGCAGCUAACGCGAUAAGUAGACCGCCUGGGGAGUACGGUCGCAAGACUAAAACUCAAAUGAAUUGACGGGGGCCCGCACAAGCGGUGGAGCAUGUGGUUUAAUUCGAUGCAACGCGAAGAACCUUACCUGGUCUUGACAUAGUAAGACUUUCCAGAGAUGGAUUGGUGCCUUCGGGACUUACAUACAGUGCUGCAUGCUGUCGUCAGCCGUGUCGUGAGAAUGUUGGGUUAAGUCCCGCAACGAAGCGCAA